rnacentral:rRNA from 1 species
GACGAACGCUGGCGGCGUGCUUAACACAUGCAAGUCGAACGGAAAGGCCCUGCUUUUGUGGGGUGCUCGAGUGGCGAACGGGUGAGUAACACGUGAGUAACCUGCCCUUGACUUUGGGAUAACUUCAGGAAACUGGGGCUAAUACCGGAUAGGAGCUCCUGCUGCAUGGUGGGGGUUGGAAAGUUUCGGCGGUUGGGGAUGGACUCGCGGCUCAUCAGCUUGUUGGUGGGGUAGUGGCUUACCAAGGCUUUGACGGGUAGCCGGCCUGAGAGGGUGACCGGCCACAUUGGGACUGGGUUACGGCCCAGACUCCUACGGGAGGCAGCAGUGGGGAAUAUUGCACAGUGGGCGGAAGCCUGAUACAGCAACGCCGCGUGCGGGAUGACGGCCUUCGGGUUGUAAACCGCUUUCGCCUGUGACGAGGCGUGAGUGACGGUAAUGGGUAAAGAAGCACCGGCUAACUACGUG